rnacentral:rRNA from 1 species
UUUAAAGUCUAAUCUGCCCUAUGAGAUAUUAAAUGGCCGCGGUACUUUGACCGUGCAAAGGUAGCAUAAUAAUUAGUUUUUUAAUUAAAAGCUGGAAUGAAUGAUUGGACGAGAAAAUAACUGUCUCAAUUUAAUUUUAUUAGAAUUUUAUUUUUAAGUAAGAAAGCUUAAAUGUUAUUAAAAGACGAGAAGACCCUAUAGAGUUUUAUAAUUAAUUAAUUAUUAAUUUUUUAGGAUUAUUUUAUUAGCAAUUGAUUAUUUAUUUUAUUGGGGUGAUAGAAAAAUAUAAUAAACUUUUUUUUUAUUUAAACAUUAAUUUAUGAUUUAUUGAUCCAUUUUUUAUGAUUAUAAGAUUAAGUUACCUUAGGGAUAACAGCGUAAUUUUUUUUAGAGUUCUUAUCGAAAAAAAAGGUUGCGACCUCGAUGUUGGAUUAAAAUUAAUAUUUGGUGUAGAGGCUAAAUUAUUAGGUCUGUUCGACCUUUGAAAUUUUACA